rnacentral:rRNA from 1 species
UACGUAGGGUGCAAGCGUUGUCCGGAAUUAUUGGGCGUAAAGAGCUCGUAGGCGGUCUGUCGCGUCUGCUGUGAAAACCCGGGGCUCAACCCCGGGCUUGCAGUGGAUACGGGCAGACUAGAGUUCGGUAGGGGAGACUGGAAUUCCUGGUGUAGCGGUGAAAUGCGCAGAUAUCAGGAGGAACACCGAUGGCGAAGGCAGGUCUCUGGGCAUUAACUGACGCUGAGGAGCGAAAGCAUGGGGAGCGAACAGG